AGCGUUUGCGAGGUGCCAGUGCUUUCCUCUCAUUGGGGCGAAGGAGCGAGGACAGGACCGAACAGCAGCAAACUUUUAAACUGUGAGCACAGGCCCGUCCACGGCCCGAGCUCGCCUUUCGUUUGGCUUCACCUUCUACGGAGUCCAGUCAGUUGGCCGCCUACUUCACUUUUCUUAAGAGAAAGAAGGAUGCCCGGGCCAC
rnacentral:other from 1 species